AACGAACGCUAGCGGCGUGCCUAACACAUGCAAGUCGAGCGAGAAAGGGCUUCGGCCUCAGUAAAGCGGCGCACGGGUGAGUAACACGUGGGUAACGUACCCUCGGGUGGGGAAUAACGGGCCGAAAGGCUCGCUAAUACUGCAUAAGACCACGACCUUCGCGGAGGUUGAGGCCAAAGGGGCGCAAGUCCCGCCUGAGGAUCGGCUCGCGGUGCAUUAGCUAGUUGGUAGGGUAAUGGCCUACCAAGGCGACGAUGGAUAGCUGGUCUGAGAGGACGAUCAGCCACACUGGAACUGAAACACGGUCCAGACUCCUACGGGAGGCAGCAGUGGGGAAUAUUGCGCAAUGGGCGAAAGCCUGACGCAGCAACGCCGCGUGAGUGAAGAAGGCCUUCGGGUUGUAAAGCUCUGUCAGAAGGAAAGAAUGGGUCGGAUAACCUCCGGCUAUGACGGUACCUUCGAAGGAAGCACUGGCUAACUCUGUGCCAGCCGCCGCAGUAAUAC
rnacentral:rRNA from 1 species